rnacentral:rRNA from 1 species
CCGGCAACCGGCGCACGGGUGGGUAACACGUAUGCAACCUGCCCGUCUCAGGGGGAUAAUCGUCGGAAACGGCGUCUAAUACCCCGUAUGAAGCUGGACGGCAUCGUCUGGUUUUGAAAGAAUAUCGGAGACGGAUGGGCAUGCGGCGCAUUAGCUAGUUGGCGGGGUAACGGCCCACCAAGGCGACGAUGCGUAGGGGUUCUGAGAGGAAGGUCCCCCACACUGGUACUGAGACACGGACCAGACUCCUACGGAAGGCAGCAG